GAAUAAGGCACAUGAUCUUUACUCCGUGACAGAAUCUGACAGAAUAUCAAGUUGCUAGUUUGUCUCAAUUUAAUAGCGGUGGUAGUCUGUUAUUGUCUGUACUGGCAGGGUCUCCAUCUGUGAUCAUAUAUUAAGAUGUGUGAAAGACCCUUGCAUGCAGAUGAAAUUUACAAUAUUAUGUUUUUUCUAUCAACUGAAGAUGUUCUCAGAUGUAUGCAAGUUUGCAAAUAUUGGAAG